AUGAACGCUAGCGACAGGCUUAACACAUGCAAGUCGAGGGGUAACAGGGUAGCAAUACCGCUGACGACCGGCGCACGGGUGAGUAACGCGUAUGCAACCUGCCUAUAACUGGGGAAUAGCUCCCUGAAAGGGGAAUUAACACCGCAUAACACUAUUGAUUCGCAUGGAUUAGUAGUUAAAUGUAGCGAUACAGGUUAUAGAUGGGCAUGCGUGACAUUAGCUAGUUGGUGAGGUAACGGCUCACCAAGGCUACGAUGUCUAGGGGUUCUGAGAGGAAGGUCCCCCACACUGGUACUGAGACACGGACCAGACUCCUACGGGAGGCAGCAGUGAGGAAUAUUGGUCAAUGGGCGCAAGCCUGAACCAGCCAUGUCGCGUGCAGGAAGACUCGCCCUAUGGGUUGUAAACUGCUUUUAUAGUAGAAGAAACACAUCUACGCGUAGAUGUCUGCCAGUAUACUAUGAAUAAGCAUCGGCUAACUCCGUGCCAGCAGCCGC
rnacentral:rRNA from 1 species